CAGCGGAGCAUGUGGUUUAAUUCGAAGCAACGACGAAGAACCUUACCAGAUCUUGACAUCAAUUGACCAUCUUUUAAUCGAGAUUUUGCCUUCGGUACAAUUGAGACAGGUGGUGCAUGGUUGUCGUCAGCUCGUGUCGUGAGAUGUUGGGUUAAGUCCCGCAACGAGCGCAACCCUUGUGUUUAGUUGCAAACAGGUCAAGCUGUGCACUCUAGACAGACUGCCGUGGACAACACGGAGGAAGGUGGGGAUGACGUCAAAUCAUCAUGCCCCUUAUGAUCUGGGCUACACACGCGCUACAAUGGCCGGUACAACGGGCAGCGAAGGAGCGAUCCGGAGCGAAUCCUAAAAAGCCGGUCCCAGUUCGGAUUGCAGGCUGAAACUCGCCUACAUGAAGUUGGAGUUGCUAGUAAUCGCGAAUCAGAAUGUCGCGGUGAAUGCGUUCCCGGGUCUU
rnacentral:rRNA from 1 species